ensembl:snRNA U6 U6 spliceosomal RNA
GUGCUCACUUCGGCAGCACAUAUACUAAAACUGGAUCGAUACAGAAAACAUUAGUGUAGCCCCUGCACAAGGAUGAUGCUCAAAUUUGUGAAGUGUUCCAUAUUAAA